rnacentral:rRNA from 1 species
AACGAACGCUGGCGGCAGGCUUAACACAUGCAAGUCGAACGCCCCGCAAGGGGAGUGGCAGACGGGUGAGUAACGCGUGGGAAUCUACCUAGUUCUACGGAACAACACAGGGAAACUUGUGCUAAUACCGUAUACGCCCUACGGGGGAAAGAUUUAUCGGAAUUAGAUGAGCCCGCGUAAGAUUAGCUAGUUGGUGGGGUAAUGGCCUACCAAGGCGACGAUCUUUAGCUGGUCUGAGAGGAUGAUCAGCCACACUGGGACUGAGACACGGCCCAGACUCCGACGGGAGGCAGCAGUGGGGAAUAUUGGACAAUGGGCGAAAGCCUGAUCCAGCCAUGCCGCGUGAGUGAUGAAGGCCUUAGGGUUGUAAAGCUCUUUCAGUAGGGAAGAUAAUGACGGUACCUACAGAAGAAGCCCCGGCUAACUUCGUGCCAGCAGCCGCAGUAACAC